AGGUUCAGAGCUUAGGCCUGGUAUACAGUACGCAGUUAUUUUGGAAUUAGCCGAGUUACCGUGAAAUAAAACUGAUUCCGUCCACAUGACCAAACCAGUUUUUUCGAUUUAAAGGGCUCUUUACUCCAAUUUCUGUACUCCAUCUCGGCAAGUGGAGGAGCACUAAAAUCGAAAUCGCAGUUCCAGGUUACAGGUAUUGUGGACGCAAUUCCACGAUAUUGGCCUCUGGGAGCUAUCCUAGAAUGAUCCUUUGUGACCGCUCUGGACAACACUCUGAAUCCAAUGCACUAGCCAGGUAGGCAGUAAAAGCCCCUGGAACUUUUGAAUUUCCUGUUUGGUCACCAUCAGCACAGGUGACCAUCAGCACAGUCUACCAUCGCAGGAGACCCUGAAGAGUCCAUCAUCACAAGAGACCAUGCAGUCCCAGAUUCACAGACGAGCUCCACCAUGGUCCAAAUGGGAGGUACUGGAUCUCAUUGCAUGUUGGGGAGAUGAAUCUGUUAUGGCACAACUAUGUUCCCAAAAAAACCCCAAAUACGUACGCUAAAGUCUCCAGGGCCAUGAUGGAAAGAGGCUACUCCAGGAACACAGAACAGUGUUGUACAAAAAUCAAGGAGUUCAGGCAAGCAUACCAAAAAGCCAGGGAGACGAACGGGCACUCUGGGUUACAGCCCCAUACAUGCCGCAUCUACCGUGAGCUGCAUGCAAUUAUGGGAGGUGACAACACCACUACCCCAUCACUGUCCAUGGACGCCUGCAAGGGGGGAGUAGCACAGAGCGAGGAGGAUGAGUUUUUGGAGGAUGAAGAGGAGGAGGAGGACAGUGCACAGGUGGCAAGUGGGGAAACUGUUUUCCCCCCUAUU